UUGUCUUAGUUGGUUAAUUUAUAAGUCAGAUAUUGCUUUCCAUAAUUGCAUUACAAAUCGUCACAAAACAUAGAGGACAGAAAUAUAGUUAAAAUCGAUACUUUGAGUCUAUCUCCAAAAUAUUAAAUUGACAUCAAUAUAUCCUGUCUCCGUCUGGAGGUGUUAGGCCAAGUGGGACACACACACAAACACACACAUGUAGAGAAAGGAAGUGUGUGAGGCCCUCCGUCUGGCAGAGUGGAAGACGAUUCUCUUGAAGGAACGGGAGUCUUGGGAGCAGCUUCGCUGGCUGAGGAUUGCAAGGGAAGAGCUACUAAAAAACGAGGAAGAGGAGGAGAGACCCUGCCCAGAGGAAGCCCGGGGCCCACAUCUGGAGCCAGGCCCAGAAGGAGGGCUUGCCGGCGAGCCCCUGGUGGCCGGGUUUGCCACAGAGCCCGGCCGGGCACAGCCUGAAAAAGCAACGUGGCACCCCCCUCUCCAUCCUUUGGACCCACCAUCCAUAGGAAGAUCCACAGGGGUCACCUCCCUACACCUUCGGGUAGUGGGGGGAGAAACUCAGACUGUUGUUUGUGCAUAUGCACCAAACAGCAGUUCAGAGUACUCGGCCUUCUUGGAGACCCUGAAUGGAGUUCUGUUUGGGUAGCCUCCCAGCAGAACUCCAUAGUUCUGGGAGUUCUUCAAUGCGCAUGUGGGCAAUGAUAGAGAUAUCUGGAAAGACGUGAUUGGGAGGAACGGCCCCCCUGAUCUUCUGUGCUAGUAAUGGAUUGUCUAUUACGAACACCAUGUUCGAAUAUAAGGAUGCUCCUAAGUGUACGUAGUACCAGAGCACCCCAGGCCGAAGAUUGAUGAUUGAUAUUGUAAUCGUUUCAUCUGAUUUGAGGCCGCAUGUUUUGGACACUCGGGUGAAGGGAGGGGCGGAGCUGUCAACUGAUCACCAUCUGGUGGUGAGUUGGGUCAGGGGGUGGAGGAAGACUCUGGACAGACCCGGUAAGCCCAAACGGGUAGUGCGGGUGAACUGGGAACGUCUGGAGGAGGCCCCUGUUCUUGAGAUCUUUAACUCAAACCUCCGGCAGAGCUUUUCUGGCAUCCCUGUGGAGGUUGGGGACAUUAAACUUGAGUGGGCAAUGUUCAAAUGUUCUAUUGCUGAAGCCGCAGCAGGAAGCUGUGGUCUCAGGGUCUUAGGUAACUCAAGGGGCAGUAAUCCUCGAACAGCGUGGUGGACACCGGUGGUCAGGGAAGCCGUCCAACUGAAGAAGGAGGCCUUCCGGCAUUUGUUGUCUCAGAGGACUCCGGAGGCGGUUGCAAGGUACUGACAGACCCAAAGGGCUGCAGCCUCUGCUGUGGCAGAUGCAAAGCAGCAGGUGUGGGAGAAGUUCGGAAAACCCCCACCUCAGGAGGGGAACCGUGCAAGCUGUAUACAGUAAGGAUGGGAUCCUGUUGACUUCAACUGGGGAGGUAAUUGGGCGGUGGAAAGAACACUUUUAGGAACUCCUAAAUCCGAUUGACACGCCCUCUCUAGUAGAGGCAGAGCUGGAGGCUGAUGGGGGUUUCUUGUCAAUUUCCCUGGUGGAAGUCACUGAGGUAGUCAAACAACUCUACAGUGGCAAAGCCCCAGGGAUUGAUGUGAUCCGCCCAGAAACACUAAAAGCUUUGGGUUUGGAGGGGUUGUCUUGGAUGACAGGCGCCAGUACAGUGCUGAAGGAGUGGCAGAUUGAGGUGGUGGUUCCCCUGUUCAAAAAGGGGGACCAGAGAGUGUGUGCCAAUUACAGGGGUAUCACACUUCUCAGCCUCCCAGGUAAAGUCUACUCCAAGGUGCUGGAAUGGAGGGUUC